rnacentral:rRNA from 1 species
UACGUAGGGAGCAAGCGUUGUCCGGAAUCACUGGGCGUAAAGCGCGCGUAGGCGGCCCUGUAAGUCCGUUGUGAAAGUCAAAGGCUCAACCUUUGAAAGCCGAUGGAUACUGCAGGGCUAGAGUCCGGAAGAGGCGAGUGGAAUUCCUGGUGUAGCGGUGGAAUGCGCAGAUAUCAGGAGGAACACCAAUAGCGAAGGCAGCUCGCUGGGACGGUACUGACGCUAAGGCGCGAAAGCGUGGGGAGCGAACAGG